rnacentral:rRNA from 1 species
GGUGAACACGGAGCUUGCUCUGUGGGAUCAGUGGCGAACGGGUGAGUAACACGUGAGCAACCUGCCCCUGACUCUGGGAUAAGCGCUGGAAACGGCGUCUAAUACUGGAUAUGUGACGUGACCGCAUGGUCUGCGUCUGGAAAGAAUUUCGGUUGGGGAUGGGCUCGCGGCCUAUCAGCUUGUUGGUGAGGUAAUGGCUCACCAAGGCGUCGACGGGUAGCCGGCCUGAGAGGGUGACCGGCCACACUGGGACUGAGACACGGCCCAGACUCCUACGGGAGGCAGCAGUGGGGAAUAUUGCACAAUGGGCGCAAGCCUGAUGCAGCAACGCCGCGUGAGGGACGACGGCCUUCGGGUUGUAAACCUCUUUUAGCAGGGAAGAAGCGAAAGUGACGGUACCUGCAGAAAAAGCGCCGGCUAACUACGUGCCAGCAGCCGCGGUAAUACGUAGGGCGCAAGCGUUAUCCGGAAUUAUUGGGCGUAAAGAGCUCGUAGGCGGUUUGUCGCGUCUGCUGUGAAAUCCGGAGGCCCAACCUCCGGCCUGCAGUGGGUACGGGCAGACUAGAGUGCGGUAGGGGAGAUUGGAAUUCCUGGUGUAGCGGUGGAAUGCGCAGAUAUCAGGAGGAACACCGAUGGCGAAGGCAGAUCUCUGGGCCGUAACUGACGCUGAGGAGCGAAAGGGUGGGGAGCAAACAGGCUUAGAUACCCUGGUAGUCCACCCCGUAAACGUUGGGAACUAGUUGUGGGGUCCAUUCCACGGAUUCCGUGACGCAGCUAACGCAUUAAGUUCCCCGCCUGGGGAGUACGGCCGCAAGGCUAAAACUCAAAGGAAUUGACGGGGACCCGCACAAGCGGCGGAGCAUGCGGAUUAAUUCGAUGCAACGCGAAGAACCUUACCAAGGCUUGACAUA